rnacentral:rRNA from 1 species
AACAAACGCUGGCGGCGUGCCUAAUACAUGCAAGUCGAACGGGGAAAGUUCUUCGGAAUGAGUACUAGUGGCGUACGGGUGAGCAACACGUGGAUAAUCUUCCUUCAGGUGGGGAAUAACGAGUCGAAAGAUUCGCUAAUACCGCAUAAGACCACAGUAACUUUGGUUACAGGGGUUAAAGACUUCGGUCGCCUUUAGAUGAGUCUGCGUCCGAUUAGCUAGUUGGUGAGGUAAUGGCUCACCAAGGCGACGAUCGGUAACUGGUCUGAGAGGACGGCCAGUCACACUGGGACUGAGACACGGCCCAGACUCCUACGGGAGGCAGCAGUAGGGGAUUUUGCACAAUGGAGGAAACUCUGAUGCAGCGACGCCGCGUGAGUGAUGAAGGCCUUCGGGUCGUAAAGCUCUGUUCUCAGGGAAUAAAAAAUGAAGGUACCUGAGGAGAAAGGACCGGCUAACUUCGUGCCAGCAGCCGCGGUAA